GACGAACGCUGGCGGCGUGCUUAACACAUGCAAGUCGAACGGAAAGGCCCUGCUUUUGUGGGGUGCUCGAGUGGCGAACGGGUGAGUAACACGUGAGUAACCUGCCCUUGACUUUGGGAUAACUUCAGGAAACUGGGGCUAAUACCGGAUAGGAUCUCCUGCUGCGUGGUGUGGGUUGGAAAGUGUCGGCGGUUGGGGAUGGACUCGCGGCUUAUCAGCUUGUUGGUGGGGUAGUGGCUUACCAAGCCUUUGACGGGUAGCCGGCCUGAGAGGGUGACCGGCGACAUUGGGACUGAGAUACGGCCCAGACUCCUACGGGAGGCAGCAGUGGGGAAUAUUGCACAAUGGGCGGAAGCCUGAUGCAGAAACGCCGCGUGCGGGAUGACGGCCUUCGGGUUGUAAACCGAUUUCGCCUGUGACGAAGCGUGAGUGACGGUAAUGGGUAAAGAAGCACCGGCUAACUACGUG
rnacentral:rRNA from 1 species